rnacentral:rRNA from 1 species
AGGACGAACGCUGGCGGCGUGCCUAACACAUGCAAGUCGAACGCGCUCCAUUCGGUAGCAAUACUGAUGAAGAGCGAGUGGCGAACGGGUGAGUAGCACGUGAGCAACCUGCCCCGAAGACUGGGACAACACCGGGAAACCGGUGCUAAUACCGGAUAUCCCUAUCGGAUCGCAUGAUCUGAUAAGGAAAUGUUUUUCGCUUCGGGAGGGGCUCGCGGCCUAUCAGCUAGUUGGUGGGGUAACGGCCUACCAAGGCAUCGACGGGUAGCUGGUCUGAGAGGACGAUCAGCCACACUGGGACUGAGACACGGCCCAGACUCCUACGGGAGGCAGCAGUGGGGAAUCUUGCGCAAUGGGCGAAAGCCUGACGCAGCAACGCCGCGUGGAGGACGAAGGCUUUCUGAGUUGUAAACUCCUUUCAGCAGGGACGAGUUGUGACGGUACCUGCAGAAGAAGCACCGGCCAACUACGUGCCAGCAGGCCG